CUGGGGGUGAAAGGCCAAUCAAACCGGGAGAUAGCUGGUUCUCCCCGAAAGCUAUUUAGGUAGCGCCUCGUGAAUUCAUCUCCGGGGGUAGAGCACUGUUUCGGCUAGGGGGCCAUCCCGGCUUACCAACCCGAUGCAAACUGCGAAUACCGGAGAAUGUUAUCACGGGAGACACACGGCGGGUGCUAACGUCCGUCGUGAAGAGGGAAACAACCCAGACCGCCAGCUAAGGUCCCAAAGUCAUGGUUAAGUGGGAAACGAUGUGGGAAGGCCCAGACAGCCAGGAUGUUGGCUUAGAAGCAGCCAUCAUUUAAAGAAAGCGUAAUAGCUCACUGGUCGAGUCGGCCUGCGCGGAAGAUGUAACGGGGCUAAACCAUGCACCGAAGCUGCGGCAGCGAA
rnacentral:rRNA from 2 species